rnacentral:rRNA from 1 species
GACGAACGCUGGCGGCGUGCUUAACACAUGCAAGUCGAACGGAAAGGCCCUGCUUUUGUGGGGUGCUCGAGUGGCGAACGGGUGAGUAACACGUGAGUAACCUGCCCUUGACUUUGGGAUAACUUCAGGAAACUGGGGCUAAUACCGGAUAGGAGCUCCUGCUGCAUGGUGGGGGUUGGAAAGUUUCGGCGGUUGGGGAUGGACUCGCGGCUUAUCAGCUUGUUGGUGGGGUAGUGGCUUACCAAGGCUUUGACGGGUAGCCGGCCUGAGAGGGUGACCGGCCACAUUGGGACUGAGAUACGGCACAGAAUACUACGGGAGGCAGCAGGGGGGAAUAUUGCACAAUGGGCGGAAGCCGGAGGCAGCAACGCCGCGUGCGGGAUGACGGCCUUCGGGUUGUAAACCGCUUUCGCCUGUGACGAAGCGUGAGUGACGGUAAUGGGUAAAGAAGCACCGGCUAACUACGUG